CGACUGAGACAGAUGCUGACUUGUAUUUGGAAAAGCAUGUGGCAGUGUUGGCCAUCCACAUCCAUGGGUUCCACAUCCAACGAUUCAACUGACAGGAGUUCCAGCAACUGAAGAAACAUGACCUGCCUGCUUACCUGCCAGCCUGAAGAGGAAAACUAGAUGAUGGAAUCUUGGGAAAAAACAAAAGACUGACUCAGCAGCAAGUACACAUCAUUAGCAGGAAGUGCGUCGGUCCCAGGAGUGGUGAUUAGGCAUUUUCGGAAGUCAUAAGGAAGGGAAGCCUAUAAACGGCCCUCCACCUGUCUCGUUCAGCUCUGGAUCGCAGUGCCUGGCAUGAUGCGGACCUUGUAGUAAAUGCUCAUCAAAUGUCUGAUGAGUGAGGGCAGUAGGAAGUGAGCAGUCAUGUGGCGAGAGGAGAGACCCGUGGCCACAAGGAGGUGGUGAUGGCAUGGACUCAGCAUGUGCUCCUUGGGGACAGACCCCCACGUCCCUCAGGACGGGCCCUACAGGAAGCCCCGGGUCUGCAAGAUGACACCCCAGGCAGAUGGAAAACUGCACAAUGGCCAACCCUGUAUCCACAUCCUUGGGGCUUUCCACUUGCCUGAACUGCGGCUUUCACCAGAAACUCUGAAC
rnacentral:lncRNA from 1 species